AUUGAACGCUGGCGGCAGGCCUAACACAUGCAAGUCGAACGAGUGGCGGAGGGGUGAGAAAUGUCUGGGAAACUGCCUGAUGGAGGGGGAAAACUACUGGAAACGGUAGCUAAUACCGCAUACCAUCAGAUGUGCCCAGAUGGGCUUAGCUUGUGGGUGGGGUAACGGCGCACCAGGGCGACGAUCCCUAGCUGGGCUGAGAGGAUGACCAGCCACACUGGAACUUGGACACGGUCCAGACUCCUACGGGAGGCAGCAGUGGCGAAUGUUGGACAAUGGGCGCGAGUCUUGUGCAGCCAUGCCGCGUGUAUGAAGAAGGCCUUCGGGUUGUAAAGUACUUUCAGCGGGGAGGCGUUACCCGCAGAAGAAGCACCGGCUAACUCCGUGCCAGCAGCCGCGGUAAUUC
rnacentral:rRNA from 1 species